CGCCUCUCAGGAUCGGACCUGGAGAGUUUCUGGUAUGCUACCAGUCUUGGCUACGGGAGGGAGAGUCAACCAGAGGCAUACCCAUUCCAUUCCUAGUUUGGGCAGUGGCUAGCGAGUGGAAGGCAAUUUGCUACAAGU